rnacentral:rRNA from 1 species
AAUGAACGCUGGCGGCGUGCCUAAUACAUGCAAGUCGAACGCUGGAACUCUAGCUUGCUAGUUUGAAGGAGUGGCGAACGGGUGAGUAAUACAUAAGCAACCUACCCACGAAGACUGGGAUAAUCUCUGGAAACGGGGACUAAUACCGGAUAGGUAAUCGGAACGCAUCUUCUCAUUAUUAAAGGUUAACAUCACUGCUGGAUUGGCUUAUGUUGGGUUAGUUAGUUGGUGAGGUAACGGCCCACCAAGCCGAUGAUGCGUAGCCGGCCCGAGCGGGUGAAGUGAACGGCCGCAUUUGAAAUGAGGCACAGCCCAGACUCGGACGGAGCGCUGGAGAAGAGAAGUUUCGGCAAGGAGGCAAGCCCUAGCCAAGCAACGUCGCUGAAGUAAGGCCGGCCUUCGGAGUGUAAAGCUCUGUGGUAAGAAAAGAAGGGUAGAUAGAGAAUAUCUAAAUGACGGUACCUUACCAGAAAGCCACGGCUAACUACGUG